UUUAUUUUGUAUCAACGAUAAGUGCGCAACGGAGCGUCAGCUGUGUGCGUGUCAAAAUCAGCUGAUUAUUCAAAUAGAACGAGCACGGAGUCGCAUCGGUCGGCGACCGCGCCCGCUCGCGCUACGUACAGGGGCCCCUCGGUUCUCAUCGCUCCAGUCACCUCGCAGCUAACUUGAUAUCAAUGUACCUACCUUCGCUUUGCGAACAUUAUGAGCCUUUUUGUUAUAGAGGAGCAUACGAAAUCAUUGAUGUGGAUGUCAUGUCCAAGACUGGAGUUACCUACACGUGGCUGGGAAACGAGACAAAAUGGCGUUCAGCGGCACGAGUGUUGGUUUGCGGGUGCGGCAUGCGGCGCGGGUGCGCUCACCUCUAGCAUCCACUCGGCGACGAGACGGCGCAUGUGAGGUGUGAUCUCGGUCUGCACAGUGCCGAAGUAGUUAGCGGUGACGGCAUAGCGCUCCUCGGUCCGCAGCAGGUUGUCGAGCACGCGGCGGCGCAGCAGCACCGGGUCGGGUGCAGCAGCUUGCGGCAGCCGCGGUGCGCCCUCGCCACUGCCGGGGCUGACGCGUUCCGCGCACAACAGCUCCAUGUUUAUCCGAACGGUCACGUACGCGUCGCGAAGGAUAUGAUUUGUUCUGCGCGGAGUGCUCGACAGCUGAUCGGUCGGGAGCGAGCGCCGGAGUGUUGCACGUAGUGUUGCGACAACGACGAGCGCCCGAGUCGCAGUGAGCGGCCGGUGCGAGACUCGCCCGCCGACCGAACAUAAUAAUAUGAUCGGAGCGGCGCGGCGCGGGGGCAGGGCGGUGCCAGUGAGGCCCGCACGCAGGUUUCUCCCAUUCGACGGCGUCCAAAUAAUAAUACAUAACAUAUUUCUUGCUCACUCACAUCUCACUCCAACUUCCAAGUCUCGUUUUUUUCUUUCUAUUGACCGCUCCAGGCUCAAUUACAUUAUGUAAUUAAAAUUAAACAAUGUCAUGAAAAUUUAUUGUAAAUGGUAGAAAUAGACCUACAGUUUGAAAAUCAAAAAGUACGAGAUCUUAUUCUUUAUUCAAUUCAAAAUUUAACAUUAAACUUAUUUAAGCUCUUCAAA